CCUUAUUUCACAAUAUAUUGUCAAUGGGUUUUACUCGGGUUACUCAUCGGCAUGGUUCUCUCUGCCUCUUGGGGAAAUGGUGAGCACCCAUCUCAGUGAAAGUCCCCUCGUAGGUGUCAGUUACAUCUAAGACAUGUCCGCGGUCUCUAGGAACUUAGACCUUCUAUGCGUGGGUUGCGGCAGUGUGUCCUGAUGUCCUACAAGUUGAUUUAAAAACUCUCCUUUAGGUUUUUCAUAUUUAAGUUCAAUAACCAAGACAGAUUUUUCAGGCGUCUAUGAUGAAAGAGCUUCAUCAACCACUGUUUGAGGCACUGUUUGUGCCCCCGUUUGAGGCACAAACUUGGAGUGAUGUCUCCCUCCCCUGAGUCUCCAUCGCAGGCCAUCACUCCUUCAGUUAUUUUCACUGCAGAGGUCCCCUCCUGCACCUCCUCACAGCAUCGCCCUAAUCUGCUCUUUCUUUGA
rnacentral:lncRNA from 1 species